GUAGAGUUCAUAUUAAUUUAUUCCUUCAAUAAGUGUUUUAUGAAUGCAAACUUGACGAAAGUCACUGAACUAUGUGUUAAAGAUGAGAAAAGGAAAGUGUGAGAUCAAAGCCCUGCCCACCAAUGUCUUCUCCUCCAAUUAGAGAAAACUCAUAAUGCAAAAUUAUAUCUGAGGAACACAAGGGGUGUGACUGAGUGAAUGCUGUGGGUCUUAGAAUUCCAAGGCAGAAGAGCUAAUGAACACAUUAAAAAGAGGUGAGAUUUCAGUCAGCUUCUAAGAAGUGAGGGGAAUAGAGUCCAGAAUAAGCUUGGCGUCAGAAACGGGCUUUGUUUCAAAGUGGGAUUCCCAGCCCUGUAAAGAAGAAUGUCUAUCCUGGCAAGAAAUGCAUUAACAAGGCAGGAGGCAGUGUCACUGGUGGAGACGCUUGCAGGGGCCUGGGCAUGAACUUGGCAUCAUGAGGCUGAGGAGCAAGGGAGUUGUGAAGACAGUUAAGACACGCUCUUCCCUGAGUUAGAGACAAGGUCUCACUAUUCAGAAAGGUACAGACAUGGCACCGUGAUAAAAAGGGUCAUUUAAAAGGCUUCACAGAGGCUCUGUACUGUGAAGGAUUGAAUUCUCACUUGAAUGCCUACAUUUUCACAUCGUUUUCUUUGCAGAAAUAUUCCUUUUGAAUGGCAGACUGCAAUUGGGUAGGUUUUUUUUAAGUCACUGACCAGGAAUAUAUAAUAUUAGAAAGCACUUGUCCCGGAGGAAGAACACAGCUCACUGAGAGGUAUUCACAGCUUCACUCUGGAUCUAUGAAAAUAAAUGAUUGGCAGAGCAGGUACUCCACUCGGGGAUGCCAACUGAAUAGAAAUUAAAUGAACUGCUCAACCACAAGUGCCUGAGGAAUUGCAGAGAUUUCACUGGAAAAUACUGACAAUUAAUACUGGCGUCUGCCAUGUUCAGUGGCUGAAGAAACGGGGCUGUGCUCCAUCAAUUCAAAGGACAUCCUCAUAAUAAACAUACGGAAUGAGUGGGAGAAAAUGUCACCUGGCU